UUGCUCUAAUAAUACAGAAUCAUCUCAUGAACAAGAAAAUCUCUACCCUCACGACCAGUAAUCAACAUGCAUCAGGUGUUAAGCUAAAUGGCAGAAUCAGAAUCUGAACCAGACUUUAAUUGAUUAAUAAUCUUAAAAUAUCCAAAUAAUAUAAGCUUGUUCUACAGCUUCGCCUUAUACUUGCAGUCCAGUUCUCCAAUCGUGGAAUUGGAAAGAAAGACACUGACGUCGCAGGUUGUAGUGGUGUCCGCGCUCACUUUAAAUAUAUUAAAAAUCAAAACUUUACCAGAAAUCUUGAUCACUGCGUUCAUAAUCAAGACCCCCGACGAAACAUCUGUAUAGAGCUGGGGAUUGUUGAGCAAGCGAUCCGCCAUCACCGUGACGGUUACAUUCAUGGGCUUGGUAUCGUCGGAGCUAAUCUUGCCGGCGGCAAUUGGAACUUCCCCAAAAAGUUCGUUUUUGUAAUACAUCAAAGCAGAACCGUUUUUGUACUUGAAGCCCACCUUGUUUGGGUUGGUGAUGGUGAGAUCCACGUCCAAGGUCAUAUUCAGAUUGACGCCCAUCCUGGAAGGGUCUAAGGAGAAACGCAGGCCAUCUAAAGUGAUUGAGUCGAUGUUGGUGGAAGGAUCUUUGGCUUUGAACACUGUAAAAGCUAAGAUCACCACCACUAGAACGAAAACGACGAUGACGGCCGCUGUUACCCCAAGACAAAUGUUUCUACGCCUGUGUUUGCUCUUGGGUUUAGGUAGAGUUUGAGCUUCUGUAUCUCUCGUCUCUUUUGCUACCUUUGAUGGAUUUAAAGCGGUUUCCUCCGCCUUCUGCAUCUUUUCUACUCAGGCCUUUUGGUGCGACUCUGGUAUCUGUAUCCUUCUACAGAACAAAGUUUGAACUCGAGUUUGAUGAUGGGGUGGGGUUGUGACUUGCUGAAUUCUAGGCUAUAAAUAUAUGAUGUCCUAUGACCAAGUGGGCUUAAAUUUUUUAUACUGUUGCAGGCAGGUGUCAUAAGUUGAAUCUAGAAAGGGUGUUAAUCAAGUCUGAUUCAAUUUCCUCAGGACUUGGGAAGUCUUAAAUAGACUAUAACAUAGUUGUGUUUAAAAUGGGUUUUUGCUCUUGGUCC
rnacentral:misc_RNA from 1 species